rnacentral:rRNA from 1 species
UACGUGGGGUGCAAGCGUUGUCCGGAUUUAUUGGGCGUAAAGAGUAUCGUAGGCGGUUAAUUAAGUAUCGGGUUAAAGCCUGGGGCUCAACUCCAGAGAUGCUCGAUAAACUAAUUGACUAGUGGAUGUUUGGGGUUGCUAGAAUUCUUGGUGGAGGAGUGAAAUCCGUUGAUAUCAAGAAGAAUACCAAAAGCGAAGGCAGGCAACUAGAACAUUCCAGACGCUGAUGAACGAAAGCUAGGGGAGCGAA